GUCCGCAUAACUUAGGGUAUAGAAAGGAAGAAACAAAAUUGUAAUAAAGUUGAUUGUAUUUGGAAGAAAAGAAUGUAAAUGUUAUGUGAAAUGUGACGAAUGCUUGUAAAAGUUUAGUAAUUAUGUUUGAUGCCUUCUUUAUGCAAUCGGUGUAUGAAUUUUGUUCCUAUUUGGAACUACUUGAAUUAUACUAAUUGUGAUGUCUUGGCAGACAGUGGAAACUCUGUGCGUUCGGCGGUCUGUCGGGGAGCCCGAAUCCGACCAAGGAAGCGGAUCUCGGGGCGUGACAGCCGCCGCCGAUCGUGCCCCGGCCGUCCAACCGCCAUCUCAGCCACCAACUUUUUUCUUUCCUUCUCCUCCACCACCAACUUCAUCUCCUUCUCUGCCAGAGUCAGGCCA
rnacentral:lncRNA from 1 species